GAUGAACGCUGGCGGCGUGCCUAAUACAUGCAAGUCGAGCGAAUGGAUUAAGAGCUUGCUCUUAUGAAGUUAGCGGCGGACGGGUGAGUAACACGUGGGUAACCUGCCCAUAAGACUGGGAUAACUCCGGGAAACCGGGGCUAAUACCGGAUAACAUUUUGAACCGCAUGGUUCGAAAUUGAAAGGCGGCUUCGGCUGUCACUUAUGGAUGGACCCGCGUCGCAUUAGCUAGUUGGUGAGGUAACGGCUCACCAAGGCAACGAUGCGUAGCCGGCCUGAGAGGGUGAUCGGCCACGCGGGGACUGAGACACGGCCCAGACUCCUACGGGAGGCAGCAGUAGGGAAUCUUCCGCAAUGGACGAAAGUCUGACGGAGCACCGCCGCGUGGGUGAUGAAGGCUUUCGGGUCGUAAAACUCUGUUGUUAGGGAAGAACAAGUGCUAGUUGAAUAAGCUGGCACCUUGACGGUACCUAACCAGAAAGCCACGGCUAACUACGUGCCAGCAGCCGCCGUAA
rnacentral:rRNA from 1 species